GACGAACGCUGGCGGCGUGCUUAACACAUGCAAGUCGAACGGAAAGGCCCUGCUUUUGUUGGGUGCUCGAGUUGCGAACGGGUGAGUAACACGUGAGUAACCUGCCCGUUACUUUGGGAUAACUUCAGGAAACUGGGGCUAAUACCGGAUAGGAGCUCCUGCUGCAUGGUGGUGGCUGGAAAGUUUCGGCGGCUGGGGAUGGACGCGCGGCUUAUCAGCUUGUUGGUGGGGUAGUGGUUUACAAAGGCUUGGACGAGUAGCCGGCCUGAGAGGGUGACAGGCCACAUAGGGACUCAGAAACGGCCAAGACUGAUACGGGAGGAAGCAGUGGGGAAUAUUGCGAGAUGGGCGGAGGCCGGAAGCAGCAACGCCGCGUGCGGGAUGACGGCCUUAGGGUUGUAAACAGCUUUAGCCUGGGACGAAGCGUGAGUGACGGUAAUGGGUAAGGAAGCAACGGCUAACUACGUG
rnacentral:rRNA from 1 species